rnacentral:rRNA from 1 species
UACGUAGGGGGCAAGCGUUGUCCGGAUUUACUGGGCGUAAAGAGCGCGUAGGCGGAAGUUUAAGCGGUGCCUGAAAGCCCCCGGCUCAACCGGGGAGGGUGGUGCCGAACUGGGCUUCUUGAGGGCGAUAGAGGAGAGUGGAAUUCCGGGUGUAGCGGUGAAAUGCGUAGAGAUCCGGAGGAACACCAGUGGCGCAGGCGGCUCUCUGGGUCGACCCUGACGCUGAGAUGCGAAAGCCAGGGGAGCAAACGGG